GGCCUAUUAGCUCAGCUGGUUAGAGCGUCGUACUGAUAACGCGAAGGUCGCAGGUUCGAGACCUUCAUGGGCCA
rnacentral:tRNA from 2 species